rnacentral:rRNA from 1 species
CAUGCAAGUCGAACGGAAACCCCUUAAAAGGUUUUAGUGGCGAACGGGUGAGUAACACGUAAGUAACCUGCCUUUAAGACGAGGAUAACAAUUGGAAACGGUUGCUAAGACUGGAUAGGAAACAAAAAGGCAUCUUUUUGUUUUUAAAAGACCUUCUUAUGAAGGUAUGCUUAAAGAGGGGCUUGCGCCACAUUAGUUAGUUGGUAGGGUAAAAGCCUACCAAGACGAUGAUGUGUAGCUGGACUGAGAGGUUGAACAGCCACAUUGGGACUGAGACACGGCCCAAACUCCUACGGGAGGCAGCAGUAGGGAAUUUUCGGCAAUGGAGGAAACUCUGACCGAGCAACGCCGCGUGAACGAUGAAGUAUUUCGGUAUGUAAAGUUCUUUUAUUGAAGAAGAAAAAGUAGUGGAAAAACUAUAUUGACGUUAUUCAAUGAAUAAGCCCCGGCUAACUAUGUGCCAGCAGCCGCGGUAAGACAUAGGGGGCGAGCGUUAUCCGGAAUUAUUGGGCGUAAAGGGUGCGUAGGCUGUUAGAUAAGUCUAUAAUUUAAUUUCAGUGCUUAACGCUGUCUUGUUAUAGAAACUGUCUUGACUAGAGUGAGAUAGAGGCAAGCGGAAUUCCAUGUGUAGCGGUAAAAUGUGUAAAUAUAUGGAGGAACACCAGAAGCGUAGGCGGCUUGCUGGGUCUUUACUGACGCUGAGGCACGAAAGCGUGGGUAGCAAACAGGAUUAGAUACCCUGGUAGUCCACGCCGUAAACGAUGAGUACUAAGUGUCGGGGUAAAACUCGGUACUGAAGUUAACACAUUAAGUACUCCGCCUGAGUAGUACGUACGCAAGUAUGAAACUUAAAGGAAUUGACGGGACUCCGCACAAGCGGUGGAUCAUGUUGUUUAAUUCGAAGAUACACGAAAAAUCUUACCAGGUCUUGACAUACUCUGCAAAGCUAUAGAGAUAUAGUGGAGGUUAUCAGGGAUACAGGUGGUGCAUGGUUGUCGUCAGUUCGUGUCGUGAGAUGUUAGGUUAAGUCCUAAAACGAGCGCAACCCUUGUCGUUAAUUGCCAGCACGUAAUGGUGGGGACUUUAGCGAGACUGCCAAUUAAACAUUGGAGGAAGGUGAGGAUUACGUCAAAUCAUCAUGCCCCUUAUGAUCUGGGCUACAAACGUGAUACAAUGGCUGUGACAAAGAGUAGCUGAAACGCGAGUUUUUAGCCAAUCUCAAAAAAGCAGUCUCAGUUCGGAUUGAAGUCUGUAACUCGACUUCAUGAAGUUGGAAUCGCUAGUAAUCGCGAAUCAGCAUGUCGCGGUGAAUACGUUCUCGGGGUUUGUACACACCGCCCGUCAAACCACGAAAGUUAGCAAUACCCGAAAACAGUAGCUUAACUUCGUAAGAAGAGGGAACUGUCUAAGGUAGGGUCGAUGAUUGGGGUUAAG